ACUAGUCCUAGCCCAUGCAACCUCAAUCACACAUAACAAUCAUAUGAUCNGCCUCAAACAAAACAUUUACCCCUAUAAAAGUAUAGGAGAUAGAAAUUUUUAACUGGAGCUAUAGAGUCAGUACCGUAAGGGAAAGAUGAAAGAAUCAACUUAUAGUAAAACAAAGCAAAGACUAAACCUUUUACCUUUUGCAUAAUGAAUUAACUAGAAACAACUUCACAAAAAGAAUUAAAGCCAAGAACCCCGAAACCAGACGAGCUACUUAUGAGCAGCUGUCAGAGCAAAUCCGUCUAUGUAGCAAAAUAGUGGAAUGACUUAUAAGUAGAGGUGAAAAGCCUACCGAGCCUGGUGAUAGCUGGUUAUCCAGAUUAGAAUUUUAGUUCGACUUUAAAUUUACUCCAAGCAUCCAAAAAAUCUCAAACGUAAAUUUAACUGUUAGUCUAAAGGGGGACAGCCCUUUAGACAUAGGAAACAACCUUAAUUAGAGAGUAAACCCUACAAUCUCCAUNAGUUGGCCUAAAAGCAGCCAUCAAUUAAAAAAGCGUUCAAGCUUAACCCAACUCACUUAACUUAAUCUAAAUAUUUGUAAUCACCUCCUAAUUUCNACACUGGAUUAAUCUAUUNACUAAUUAUAGAAGCAAUAAUGUUAAUAUAAGUAACAAGAAAAANUUUUCUCCCUGCAUAAGUUUAUACCAACCCGAAUAAUUCACUGGUAGUUAACAAGCCUAUAUUAUAAACCUACUGACUUAANCCAAUAUUACUCAUAAUGUUAACCCAACACCGGUAUGCACNCCAAGGGAAAGAUCCAAAAAAGUAAAAGGAACUCGGCAAACACUAACCCCGCCUGUUUACCAAAAACAUCACCUCUAGCAUAAACAGUAUUAGAGGCACUGCCUGCCCAGUGACACAUGUUAAACGGCCGCGGUAUCCUGACCGUGCAAAGGUAGCAUAAUCAUUUGUUCCUUAAAUAGGGACUUGCAUGAAUGGCCAAACGAGGGUUUAUCUGUCUCUUACUUUUAAUCAGUGAAAUUGACCUUCCCGUGAAGAGGCGGGAAUAUACAAAUAAGACGAGAAGACCCUGUGGAGCUUAAAUUUAUUAGCCCAAGUACUACAACCCAUACAACUCUACAAGAGACAAAAUCAUUACCUAUGGACUAAAAAUUUUGGUUGGGGUGACCUCGGAGCACAACCAAACCUCCGAAUGAUCUUAAUCCAGACCANCGACCUGUCUAAAUUUUAAUUCAUAAAUUGACCCAAACUAUUGAUCAACGGAACAAGUUACCCCAGGGAUAACAGCGCAAUCCUACCCGAGAGUCCAUAUCGACAGUAGGGUUUACGACCUCGAUGUUGGAUCAGGACAUCCAAAUGGUGCAACCGCUAUUAAUGGUUCGUUUGUUCAACGAUUAAAGUCCUACGUGAUCUGAGUUCAGACCGGAGAAAUCCAGGUCGGUUUCUAUCUAUUACNNAAAGCUUCUCCCAGUACGAAAGGACAAGAGAAACAAGGCCAAUUCCCAUAAUAUGCCUUAUGACNAAUAGAUGAUAUAAUCUCAAUCUAGUUAUUAAUUUACAUAAACCCCUCCCCUAGAACAGGGCU
rnacentral:rRNA from 1 species